rfam:Nicotiana attenuata strain TT chromosome 7, whole genome shotgun sequence.
AGCCACGCAUUGAGCACAGAGCGAACUAUUCUUUCGCCUUUUACUAAAGAAUACCGUGUGCGCGCUGCAUUAAAUGGCAUACGCGCCUAUUUUUGGAGGGGUUCUCAAAUUGAGUUCC